rnacentral:lncRNA from 1 species
GCUUUUUAGGGUUGCACUCACAGCAUAUGGACGUUCCAAGGCUAGGAGCUGAAUUGGAGCUGUAGCUGCCGCCUACACCACAGCCACAGCCACACAGCAUCCUCAUGGAUACUAGUUGGGUUCAUUUCCGCUGAGCCACAAAGGGAACUCCAGAACUUCAAGCACUUUUAACUGCUUUAUUUCUCUUGGUUUAAAAACCAAGGGAAAUUGAACCCAGAGGAACUGACUUUGCUGCCACUGUCCAAGAGGCAGCAGCGACAGCCAAUCAGACCUGGAUGCCCGGCCCUGGACCUGCAUUUUAAUCCCCAAACGCUACUUCUUCCCCGUAAUGACAGUCACCUUCCCCUUAAUUAAAAUUCCCUUACAAAUGUAGACAUUCCGCUUUUACUAAUAAUUACUUGGAGAGGAUUUUUAGCAAUCAGCACUACAUAAAUAUCCGUACCUCCUCGAAGACCCUAAGAAUUGCAGUGCUCUCCCUUCCUCUAAUUUAUUAUUUAUAUCCUGCCGCGGAUAGACAUAGCUCUUUGUGGCAAUUAAGAUGGGCCUUCCAGUCUCCUCUCGCGGAAUGAGGCUGGAGACAAGCAUUACCGCUUCGAUCACAAUUACUAUUAAUUGGAGAGCUCUCCCUUCUCUAUAAAAUAUGUACCACUCGAAAGUGCGAUCAACUGCCCAAGGAAUAUGAACUCCGUGUCGGGAGACGUAUUGUGAGGGCUUAGGAUUUAACAAGGCAUUUACCCUAUAAUUACUGGGGGGAAUCCUCUGAAUGGAGCAGGGAUGACAUGCUCCCAUCAGCUGGGGCUUAGGCUCCGAGCUAAUUCUCCCACGAUGCAACGAACUCGGGGGGCGACCGCAAAUGGCAAGACACAUCGCACUGGUGCUUUGGUUCUGAAUACACUCAGAGGACCAGCAGGGAUUCUUGGCUCAGGAAAUCCCUAGGCCCAGCUCCGAAGGACCAAACUCCCCCCGAUUCAUCAUUUCGUUCAUUUAUUUUUUUAAGUCCCGUGCCUGCUCUAAUGCCAGACGUUGAUUCUGAAUCCAGAUCCUGGGUCUCCAAGACAGACGUGACGUCCUCCCAGCCCUAGGGAAGCAGAUCCUCUUCCGGGGGCAAUGCCGGGUCUGAUGACGCGCGGCCGACAGCAGAGGACUCUUGGCCACAAAAGGAAAGAAAGAAAGAGAGAGAGAGAGGAAGGAAGGAAGGAAGGAAGGAAGGAAGGAAGAGCCAUCUGCCUGCGGAAGUUACUUAAAUUCCUGCAAGGAAAGCAGAAGGUGUUCCGGGAAAAUGCCCAAUGAGGCAAGGGUCUUUUCAAAGGCUGGGGUAUUAAAGCACGUUUAGAAUUGUGAGAAGGUCCACCUGGGUGGAUGGGGAGGUUGGUUUGUGCGCAGAGUGUGACUCAGCCCUUUAUCAAACUCCAUCAAGAAGAUUCACCUUCUCUCUCACUCGUAUUGAUUUGAACCACCUCUAUGCUGUGAUUCCAGGCAGUGACCAGACGGGCCUCUCCAUCAGAAUUUUCAGAGCGAAAUGCGAGGGAGCGCAUCUGUCCUCUCCAGGACCACUACCACUGGCUCUGUAUCAUUUGUGACACGGUGGUGCCUCCUGGGAAUUCGUGACUUGCUUUACCUUCAGAGGCAGCAAACCAAUUCAGAUGUUCGUGACCAGAAUCAUGCUUAUGCCAGACGAAGGGGAGUCAGCAGAACAAGGGACUGGCCUUUUGGCAGAAGGCUUUGUACCCAGACAAGCCAAGGUGCGAGUUAACUUCACUGCACCCUAACUGUGUGAACUUGGGCAAGACUUUUCAAUUCUGAGACUCUGUUUCCGUAUUUGAAAAAUGGAGACAAUGAGAACGAGCAUCCCUUUACAACGGCGCGCCUCGGAAAACCCUGGAAGACUUCGUGUCAUUUGCACCCCUAGCACGGUAACAACUGUAAUUAUGCGUCUUUGAUCAAGUUUUCCCCAAAGGAGAGUUUCACUGGAAUCACUUCAGGGUCGUCAAAAAACACGUGUGCCGGGGACCCCCACUACAGAAAUUAUGAUUUCUUAGUUCUGGGUACAAGGAAGAGGGCACAGCCAAGGGUGAAAUACACACCAUUAAAAAGAGAAUGUUAAACACAGAUGUUGAUUACGUAAACCGAAAUGUCACUUGUUUCUCCCUCAGAAAUGCUCACACACUCUUGUAAUUAAGAGGAGUUUUAUUUAAACACAAUGCUAUCGCAUCCUCCUUUUUUGGACAUAAUAAGCAAUGGCAUUAUUCUAAAAUGUAAUCUAAAGUCUGGUACCAAGCCCCUAAUUUGUACAGCAAAACCAAACCUCCCUGUCUAGAGGACAAAAUCUGGAAACCCUAGUCCACAGGCAAUGUUCCCGCUGCCCAUUUUAAGGGAGAGGUGUGUAGCCACACAGGAAGUUCAUGGGUUUGUUAGGUGUCUGUUGAGAAUACAAAGAUUCUGAAGCACCAGGGAGAGAAGCCCAUCCUGACCACCAAAGACAGUAGCCUUCUUGAUAAAGUAAGGGAAGUGCAUAAUCAAGCUGAUGCUUAAUGAUUUAUCAGUGGAUGGCUGCUAUCAAUCGCCAUGACGUAACUCAUUCCGUUUAACCUGGAAACAGGUCUGCGAGGGAGCUGCUGCUUCCCACUUUACACACGAACAAACUGAGGUUCUGAGCACAGAGGCAAUCUGCCGAGGGUCAUACAGCCGCUAUGUGUGAAAAUGGAAGCAUUUCUUGCUCUUGAGCUCAAGCCCACCAGGACUGCACUUGGUUUAAUUAGAUUUUCUCCAAGCUGCAACGGAAUGAGUGGGAGGAGAGUGUGGACCUCUUUGAAAAGUCGGCCUCUGCAAGGUCAGCGAUGCUACAAUCUCAGUUCCCCGAAUACCCCCUCUAAUCCUUUUGGGAACAAUCCCUGCUGGGGUCAGAGGAGAGGAUAGCGCUUUCUGAAAUUACAAAUGAAGACCAACAAUCAAGCAUAACACAAAGAAUGUUUAUUUCUCAGGCUUACAGAGACUGAUGGGAAUAGAUGGCUCACCUUCUUAAUGUACUGAGCACACGGAACACGGUGCCUUCAAGGUCACUGUGGCAGAAAAAGAGAAAUCGAGAUAGAGACUCUGGAAGCCUGGCAGCAGGCUGCUGUUACCAACUUCAUUCUGAAGGAGCCUGGGAAGCCCCCCAGCAUGCCCAGGAGGAGGAACAGGGAGCCACACACAGAGCACUCAGUCGGUCACAGGAGCUGUUCUCCUUGGGCCCUAGGAAGCCUCUUAUCUCACGAAUCCCAAAUGUCUAUGUCUUAUGACCUGUGGUCUUUCUAUCAAAAGCCACAUCAAACCACACCAACCAGUGCUCACAAAGGGUUGGAAACAAGAAUCCAACUAUAUCAGCUUCCCAGAGCUGCUAUAACAAAGUAUCACCAACUGGGUGGCUUAAACAGACACGAACUC